GGUGGGGCAGGGGAGAAAGCAUUUCUCAGGUUUGCCAUUUAUCUUCCUUUUGGAGAUGCGAGAGAGUACUGGAAGAGGAAAGGGAACAGCAGAGAGAGUCUGUCUGAGAAUGAAGUCAAAGCAAAAAGCUGCCAAAAAGUGGAGGAAAAAUGAUAGAGCUCAGAAAACCCCAGGGAAGGACUUGGAUUUAGCUGUGGCCAUUCCUUAAACAUCUCAGGACAACACCUCCCUCGGAACAAGCAAAUUAAGAGUAAGAUGUUUGAAGAAAAAAAAAAAAAAAAGAAGUAAGACAUUUGCAAGGAAUCAUGGGCUUACAGCAUAGAAAUCAAAUUGGAGAAAUCAAAAGGAGAUUUAAUCCACCAAAGGACCAUUUCAUGUUGGUAAUAAUAGAAUGCCUAAGGGAACAUGAAAUUAAAGGAUUCAUGAGAAACAACAUAACAUCAGGUAAGACUAGCCUGGAUGAUGAAAGAGACACGCGGUCCAGGGACUCCACUGCCCCAUCUGCCGGCCAGCCGUCCUGAAGAAGCAGAGCUGCCGAGCUGACUGGAAGUUGAGCUUAGCUGAGACCAGAAGAGCUGCCCAGCUAAAUGCUACCCAAAUCACUGUC